ACUCCUACGGGAGGCAGCAGUGGGGAAUAUUGGACAAUGGGCGCAAGCCUGAUCCAGCCAUGCCGCGUGUGUGAAGAAGGCUCUAGGGUUGUAAAGCACUUUCAGUAGGGAGGAAGGCCAGAGGCUUAAUAAGUCUUUGGAUUGACGUUACCUACAGAAGCAGCACCGGCUAACUCCGU
rnacentral:rRNA from 1 species